rnacentral:rRNA from 1 species
UACGGGGGGGGCAAGCGUUGUUCGGAAUUACUGGGCGUAAAGGGUUCGUAGGUGGCUCGCUAAGUCAGACGUGAAAUCCCUCAGCUUAACUGGGAACUGCGUCUGAGACUGGCAAGCUUGAGUGCAGGAGAGGAACGCGGAAUUCCAGGUGUAGCGGUGAAAUGCGUAGAUAUCCGGAGGAACACCGGUGGCGAAGGCGGCGUUCUGGACUGUAACUGACACUGAGUGAACGAAAGCCAGGGGAGCAAACGGG